GUACACACCGCCCGUCACACCAUGAGAGUUGGGAAUACCCGAAGCCUGUGAGCUAACUUAUAGAGGCAGCAGUCGAAGGUAGAAUCAAUGAUUGGGGUGAAGUCGUAACAAGGUAUC
rnacentral:rRNA from 1 species